CAAUAGCGUAUAUUAAAGUUGUUGCAGUUAAAAAGCUCGUAGUUGGAUUUCUGGUGGGAGCGAUCGGUCUGGCGCUUAGCGCGAGUACUUGCAUCGUCUCCGGCCAUCCUUGGGGAGAGUCUGUCUGGCAUUAGGUUGUCGGGCAGAGGAUCCUCAUCGUUUACUGUGAAAAAAUUAGAGUGUUCAAAGCAGGCUUAUGCCGUUGAAUAUAUUAGCAUGGAAUAAUAAGAUAGGACUUUGGUACUAUUUUGUUGGUUUGCGCACCAAAGUAAUGAUUAAUAGGGACAGUUGGGGGUAUUCGUAUUCCGUUGUCAGAGGUGAAAUUCUUGGAUUUACGGAAGACGAACUACUGCGAAAGCAUUUACCAAGGAUGCUUUCAUUAA
rnacentral:rRNA from 1 species